rnacentral:rRNA from 1 species
GACGAACGCUGGCGGCGUGCUUAACACAUGCAAGUCGAACGGUGAAGCCCUUCGGGGUGGAUCAGUGGCGAACGGGUGAGUAACACGUGAGCAACCUGCCCUUGGCUCUGGGAUAACUCCGGGAAACCGGUGCUAAUACUGGAUAUUCACGCUUUACCGCAUGGUGGGGUGUGGAAAGUUUUUCGGCCAGGGAUGGGCUCGCGGCCUAUCAGCUUGUUGGUGGGGUGAUGGCCUACCAAGGCGACGACGGGUAGCCGGCCUGAGAGGGCGACCGGCCACACUGGGACUGAGACACGGCCCAGACUCCUACGGGAGGCAGCAGUGGGGAAUAUUGCGCAAUGGGCGAAAGCCUGACGCAGCGACGCCGCGUGAGGGAUGAAGGCCUUCGGGUUGUAAACCUCUUUCAGCAGGGAAGAAGCGCAAGUGACGGUACCUGCAGAAGAAGCACCGGCUAACUACGUGCCAGCCGC